rnacentral:rRNA from 1 species
GACGAACGCUGGCGGCGUGCUUAACACAUGCAAGUCGAACGGAAAGGCCCUGCUUUUGUGGGGUGCUCGAGUGGCGAACGGGUGAGUAACACGUGAGUAACCUGCCCUUGACUUUGGGAUAACUUCAGGAAACUGGGGCUAAUACCGGAUAGGAGCUCCUGCUGCAUGGUGGGGGUUGGAAAGAUUCGGCGGUUGGGGAUGGACUCGCGGCUUAUCAGCUUGUUGGUGGGGUAGUGGCUUACCAAGGCUUUGACGGGUAGCCGGCCUGAGAGGGUGACCGGCCACAUUGGGACUGAGAUACGGCCCAGACUCCUACGGGAGGCAGCAGUGGGGAAUAUUGCACAAUGGGCGGAAGCCUGAUGCAGCAACGCCGCGUGCGGGAUGACGGCCUUCGGGUCGUAAACCGCUUUCGCCUGUGACGAAGCGUGAGUGACGGUAAUGGGUAAAGAAGCACCGGCUAACUACGUG